rnacentral:misc_RNA from 1 species
CUGCUCAUUUCUCGGUCUCAAUUUCUGAACCUCUUCAAAAAUAGUCGCCUGCUCCUGAUUGGUUAAUGUCGUCAGGUGCUUUUGCAGUUCUAGUUUUGUUUUGGAAGAAUUCAUUCCCUCUAUCCUCUCACAGAGCUUGUGCAGGCUUUGCAGGGGGCAGCCCUCACACAGCUGGGCUGGCGCCUUAGCUGUCUGCUGCACUGCGG